UCAUCAUCUGAAUCAUCCGAAUAAUCGCUAUUUAUUUCUGGUAAUUCCACAGACGUGUUAGGCGAUAGGGAUCCAUAUCCAGGAAAAUAAUUCGACUUAGGCGUUUUCAGUAACGGUGAUUUAGAAGAGGGCUCCUGCAUAGACGAGUUCCUACCUUUAGCUGGAGCGUGCAUAGAAGCUUUUUCAAUAAAAGGUUUAUUUGAUUGUGAAGUACUAGAAGAUGGAAGCUUUCCUUUCAUAAUACCAUUCUGCUUAGUAAAAGGGUUGACGUUGUGAUGCAUUGUUUUGAAUC